UCUAACUGACGAAGGUAAAAUUAACUAAUAUCGCGUAAUAGGUAAUCAAAUAAUCGUCUAAAAUCUAUUCAUCAGUCAUAUCGUUUAUAACAUAUUAAUAAUAUAUUAUACCUAUAUGUCACAAUAAUAUAUUUGUUUCGUGAAACAGCCGCUCAACUGCUCAAGUAAAUAUUAAUAACAAUGUCAAUAAUACUAUAUUAUUGCAAGCCUAAUCGUAAUUUUGAAAAUUGUUAAUGUUUAACAAUAUUUUUUAUAUUUUAAUCUAUGGUAGGUAAGAAUAACGAUUAACCGUUGGAUAGACGAAAAAUUUUGAAUAUAAAUUAUAAAUAUUUGUGAGGCCGAGUAACAAUAGAUUGCCAAGUGGUCCGGGUAUAUAGGUACUUAUUAACACGGAAAACUUGAAAUUCUUUAAACACCCCCUCAAAUUCCGUUCUAAUAAGGACAUCUCCAAUACCAUACUGAGGGGUCCUUUAGACUCGUCAAAGCAAACCCUUGAGUACAGCUUCAGAACGGAUAAAUAGACAUAGCUAAAAUAAAAUGCAAUUUACAUUAUCAUAGAAAUUAAAUUUAAACAACUUUUAGUCACUUUCGCUGCGCGAGAUAACUGCUGAAGUGAAUGCAUGGUAAUUUGUUGUACGAUAAAUAAUAAAGUUCCUACUUAAUGCGAAUAGAUAAUAUUUAUGAUACGAAUAUUAUUUAAGGUACCUUGAUACACUGAUACAUCACAAAUUGAUAAAUUAACAACUCCAAUCGUGAAAAAGAAAAAUUCGUCGUGACAGUUUAUCAAAAUCUGUCUACAACAUAUGUGCAUUGGAGCGUUGAUUUGAACACGUGACAAUCGUUGCUAUGCAUAUGACAAUAAAUUCAGAACAUGUUUCUACAUUAUUUUUUAUAGAAGAAUGCAAGAGGUUACUUGAACACACGAGGAAUCUAUGUCACGUCCAGACGUCCUGCAGUCGAUGGAUGUAACUAAGCUAGCUGCCAUAGUUCAUGGCAUCAUUGAAGUACAAUGUAAUAUUGGAAUGUAUAAUAUCUGGGACGUUUGGUACGAAUAAUAAUAUUAUUUACAUUUAAUAGGGUUUUAUAAUAAUGAACUUAUAUUACAUUAUAUUUAAAUCGUACCUAAUCAUCGUACAUAAAACAAUACUGAAUAUCCCCGAUUCUUUUUUUUUCAGUCGUUUCAUUAGUGCGUAAUUUUUAUUAAUCUUAACUUAAAUCAUAAAGAAAAUACAAAUAUAUUAUAAUAAAAUUAUGUAAUA